UACGGGGGGAGCAAGCGUUGUUCGGAUUUACUGGGCGGAAAGGGCGCGUAGGCGGCCACGACAAGUCACUUGUGAAAUCUCCGGGCUUAACUCGGAAAGGUCAAGUGAUACUGUCGGGCUAGAGUACAGAAGGGGCAACUGGAAUUCUCGGUGUAGCGGUGAAAUGCGUAGAUAUCGAGAGGAACACCAGUGGCGAAGGCGACUACCUGGCCUGUUCUUGACGCUGAGGCGCGAAAGCUAGGGGAGCAAACGGG
rnacentral:rRNA from 1 species